UACAGAGGGGGCAAGCGUUGUUCGGAAUUACUGGGCGUAAAGGGCGCGUAGGCGGCCCGCUAAGUCGAACGUGAAAUCCCCGAGCUCAACUCGGGAACUGCGUCCGAUACUGGCGGGCUUGAAUCCGGGAGAGGGAUGCGGAAUUCCAGGUGUAGCGGUGAAAUGCGUAGAUAUCUGGAGGAACACCGGUGGCGAAGGCGGGUCUCUGGACAGUUCCUGACGCUGAGGCACGAAGGCCAGGGGAGCAAACGGG
rnacentral:rRNA from 1 species